GCGUGCAUGGUGUAGUGGCUACCGCAUGCGGCUGACGAUCUCGCAACGGGGGUUCAACCCCCUCUGGCUCG